rnacentral:rRNA from 1 species
AUGUGGUUCUGGUUGCAGGACAAGUUGCUGGAUGACACCAGCAUCACGCACCUGUUCUCGAUUACCAAGUACACCGGCUUGCUUGCCACUGGCCUCACAGCUGAUGCGAGGUCCUUGGUCUCCCAAGCAAGAAAUGAAGCAGCUGAGUUCCGUAAAAAAUGGGGAUAUGAGAUGCCUGUGGAUGUAUUAGCAAAAUGGAUAGCAGACAAAGCACAAAUAUACACGCAGCAUGCGUACAUGAGACCCCUUGGUGUUGUUGCCAUGGUCUUGGGUUACGAUGAAGAGAAAAAUGCUCAGCUCUUCAAGUGUGACCCCGCAGGUCACUUCUUUGGACACAAGGCAACUAGUGCCGGACUGAAGGAGCAGGAAGCAAUAAAUUUUCUGGAGAAGAAAAUGAAGGAUAGCCCCCAGUUCUCAUAUGACGAAACUGUUCAGAUUGCGAUUUCUGCAUUGCAAUCUGUUCUGCAGGAAGAUUUCAAGGCUACCGAGAUCGAGGUCGGUGUUGUGAGGAAAGAAGACCGUGUCUUCCGGUCACUCACGACAGAGGAGAUUGAUCAGCACCUAACAGCCAUUAGCGAGCGCGACUGA